rnacentral:rRNA from 1 species
GGUAAUACCCAGUUUUUUCUUGACUCUUCAAAGGUCUUGGAAUAAGGGGUGGGUAAGGACGGUGCCAGCCGCCGCGGUAAUACCGGCGCCUCAAGUGGUAGUCGCUUUUAUUGGGCCUAAAACGUCCGUAGCCGGUCUGGUGCAUUCGUGGGUAAAUCAACCCGCUCAACGGGUUGAAUUCUGCGAGCACGGCCAGACUUGGGACCGGGAGAGGUGUGGGGUACUCUCAGGGUAGGGGUAAAAUCCUGUCAUCCUGAGAGGACCACCUGUUGCGAAGGCGCCACACUAGAACGGAUCCGACGGUCAGGGACGAAACCUAGGGGCACGAACCGGAUUAGAUACCCGGGUAGUCCUAGGUGUAAACGCUGUGGACUUGAUGUUGGGGGCGCUCCGAGCGCUCUCAGUGUCGAAGCGAAGGUGAUAAGUCCACUGCCUGGGGAGUACGGUCGCAAGGCUGAAACUUAAAGGAAUUGGCGGGGGAGCACUGCAACCUGAGGAUUGUGCGGUUUAAUUGGACUCAACGCCGGGA